rnacentral:rRNA from 1 species
ACGUACACUCCUGCGGGAGGCAGCAGUGGGGAAUAUUGGACAAUGGGCGCAAGCCUGAUCCAGCCAUGCCGCGUGAGUGAUGAAGGCCCUAGGGUUGUAAAGCUCUUUCACCGGUGAAGAUAAUGACGGUAACCGGAGAAGAAGCCCCGGCUAACUUCGUGCCAGCAGCCGCGGUAAUACGAAGGGGGCUAGCGUUGUUCGGAUUUACUGGGCGUAAAGCGCACGUAGGCGGACUAUUAAGUCAGGGGUGAAAUCCCGGGGCUCAACCCCGGAACUGCCUUUGAUACUGGUAGUCUUGAGUUCGAGAGAUGUGAGUGGAAUUCCGAGUGUAGAGGUGAAAUUCGUAGAUAUUCGGAGGAACACCAGUGGCGAAGGCGGCUCACUGGCUCGAUACUGACGCUGAGGUGCGAAAGCGUGGGGAGCAAACAGGAUUAGAUACCCGAGUAGUCCCAUGA